rnacentral:lncRNA from 1 species
UCUAGGGAGGGUAGCAGUAUACAGACCUUACCCCUACCUCAUAGAGAUAGAUAGGUUGUUUUCGAUAGACCCUCGACUUAAGGAACUAUGAAAAGCAGAUGGUGGAAUAAAAGUAUAACUAACAUAUCCUCCAACCAAGUAUUUUCACAUCCGGGUAUGCUAGCGACCACUGUAAGUCUAGAACUAGUAGUAAUGAUUAAGAUGAAGGACAAAGGUCCUUUUUUCUUAUUUAUUCCGCAAAGAUAAUCUAUACUACAGUAUAGUAGUAAAAGAAAUGAAAUGGAAAAAAAGACAAAUCAUCAUUUGGAUCUUCAGAAUUAAAAGUUGAAAGGUACAGAGAUGAGAAAAAUAUUUUCUUCAGAACUUAAUAUGAACUUGAACAAACUCAAUGUUGAAGAAAGUUUAAAGGUUGGUUGCAAUCACCGAUAGCUGUAGUAAAAUAAUUACGAUUCCUCCGCUCUUACUAGAGAUCUUAAUUUGAUUGGAGUCAUCGCAAUUAAACAAUCUUAAUGUUCGAAUGAAUUAAGCCCAAAAGACAUAAUUAAGUAUAUAAAUGUAUGAUUUGUCAUU